rnacentral:rRNA from 1 species
GAUGAACGCUGGCGGCGUGCCUAAUACAUGCAAGUCGAGCGAACGGACGAGAAGCUUGCUUCUCUGAUGUUAGCGGCGGACGGGUGAGUAACACGUGGAUAAGCUAUAUAUAAGACUGGGAUAACUUAGGGCAACCGGAGCUAAUACCGGGUAAUAUUUUGAACCGCAUGGUUCACAAGUGAAAGACGGUCUUGCUGUCACUUAUAGAUGGAUCCGCGCUGCAUUAGCUAGUUGGUAAGGUAACGGCUUACCAAGGCAAUGAUGCAUAGCCGACCUGAGAGGGUGAUCGGCCAGACGGGAAGUGAGACACGGUCCAGACUCCGACGGGAGGCAGCAGUAGGGAAUCUUCCGCGAGGGGCGAAAGCCUGACGGAGCAACGCCGCGUGAGUGAUGAAGGUCUUCGGAUCGGAAAACUCUGUUAGUAGGGAAGAACAUAUGUGUAAGUAACUGUGCACAUCUUGACGGUACCUAAUCAGAAAGCCACGGCUAACUUCGUG